AGCUCCUUGUCUUCCUCUUUCCUCAGAUCAUCUCCAUAAACUUUCUUUCUUCACAGCUGGGAAUCAAUGGCCAGCUUUCCCUACAACUUCUUCCCCACUGAUUUACUUAACUCUGCUCAAUUUGCAGCCGGUGGAGACAAGACUCGGCAACCAGUUCUUCCCCAUGAAGCCCGCACAAGAGAAGGAAAACCCAAAGUAGAACAGCUCCGAUCAAGAGUCCGUGACAACCUUCAAUGCAACUUCUUCCCCGCUGAUUUGCUUCCUUCUGUUCAGUUUUCAACUGAUGGGGACAAGAAUGAAAAACGAGGCAUCAAGGACAGAGUACCAACGCAAGAUGAGAUUGUGCAGGCCGAUCCCCAGCUAUCCCUGCUUCAUCUAUCUACUACUUUUCCAGAUUCAGGCUGUGAUUCACCUUCUGCCUGAAUGGGUAUCUCAAGAUUUAAGAGUUUCUGCUGGUUUCACAAUCGGAGCUAGUGGAGUGAAGUGAAUCGGAUAAUUGGAGGAUUAAGCAGAGCGAUCGAGCUUAUAUCAAACAGUGAUUACCCUAACAUCGUUGCGAUCCAAUAUAUAUUAGACUGUAUUUGUUUAAGAGCAGUGCUGCAAUAGCAGAGAUGGAAAUGUAUCGGAAAACACCAGUGCUCUAAUUAAUGAUAAUUCAAAUCAAGCUCUAUAUAUUGUAUCUUGUUUAGUUUAUGCAAAUUCAACCCAGUAGUAAUUCAUGGAUUUUAAUCGUUUA